UCAGCUUUCUUUUCUUAUUCUUUUUCUUUUGAGUGCAAAAACAAAACACAAAAGGAAGGACUCUGAAGUUAGCGUGAGGAUAGGGUCUAUCAGUAGAAGCGGGCUUUGCGCCUCUCUCUCUCUCGUUCUGUUCCCUCUUUCUUUGUCUUUUCCCUCUGCGUGUUUCUUUUGUAGAGUACUUGUUUUGGGCUAUUAAUGGCUUU